UGACUACAGGGGUAUCUAAUCCCWUUCGCUCCCCUAGCUUUSGUCCCUCAGUGUCAGUGCAGACCCAGCAAGGCGCUUUCGCCACCGGUGUUCUUCCCAAUAUYUACGCAUUUCACCGSUACAMUGGGAAUUCCCCUUGCCCCWAUCGCACUCUAGACGMUCAGUUUCCUCUGCCUUUASGGAGUUAASMUCCGCGCUUUGACAGAAGACUUGAACAUCCACCUACGGACGCUUUACGCCCAAUAAUUCCGGAUAACGCUUGCCUCCUCCGUAUUACCGCGGCUGCUGGCAMGGAGUUAGCCGAGGUUGAUUCGAUUGGUACCGUCAGAACUUCUUCCCAAUCAAAAGAGGUUUACAAUCCACAGACCUUCUUCCCUCACGCGGUCKUGCUCCGUCAGGCUUUCRCCCAUUGCGGAAAAUUCCCCACUGCUGCCUCCCGUAGGAGUCUGGGCCGUGUCUCAGUCCCAGUGUGGCUGCUCAUCCUCUCAGACCAGCUACUGAUSGUCGCCUUGGGGUGCUCUUACCACUCCAACNAGCUAAUCAGACGCGAGCCUUUCUUCAGGCAAUUAAUCUUUCACCUCCCGGCUCAUUGGGUAUUAGCAGGGGUUUCCYCCUGUUGUCCCCAUCCUGAAGGUAAGUUCUCACGCGUUACUCACCCGUCCG
rnacentral:rRNA from 1 species